rnacentral:lncRNA from 1 species
CCAUCUAACAAUUGGGUGAGGUAAUUGCUAUCAUUAUUAUUCCCAUCUUAAAGCUGAAGUAAUGGAGCCAGAGAGAGCUGAAGGGAUUUGCAGAAGGUCAUAUAGCUAAGUGGAUGAGGCAUGGUUUGAAUUCAGAUCUUCCCAAUUCCAAAUCCAGCAGUUUAUAUAUUGUACCACCUCAGUGUUCUCAUGAAAACAGUACUGAUGAAAUACUCAUCUGAAAAGUCCUUAGGUAAAGCCAGAAAAUGUUUUGGGAUGGUUGUGAUCAUGACAAUUUCCCAAUUUUCAGGAUUGUCUAAAUAUGGUGCUUAGCUGAGUGAUUAUUCAAAUAGCUUGAUUAGCACAGGGCUUUCCAUGUUGGAUAUUACCCAAUUCAAUUCCACAGCCAAUUCUGAGGCUACUUUUUACUUCCUAGAAGGUGACUCUUUUCAGGAUUUCCCUUAGUUCUCUCUUUUCCAUCAAGAGAAGUGAUGAGGGGCUAGCUAGUGUACUAGCUCAGAAUUAGGAACCAAAGCUUGACAGGUCUCAGAGAGGGAGGGAACAGAUAAAGAGAAGCACUACUUCCUUUCCCAGGCAGAGCUGUCCAAGAGAAGGUGAAGUUGGAUCAAUGCCCAGAGCCGAAAGAUUUCAGAGAAGGCAGAAGAGAAGACAAAUGGCUGACAAUUUCUUCUAUUUUAUCGGGGACCGGAGUCCAGGAAGGAAAUGAGACUUCUUACAGAGAAGACAGGAAGCAGAAUCACUAUUCUGAAAUAUUCUAAGAACACUGCAGUUAAGGGGAGGAAGAAACGAUUCUCUAAGAAAGAUGUUCUAUAAAGAGCAGGACAAGGGACGCCUUCUCCAAAAAAGAAGGAUGUGAUUAUUCUUCUCCCCUCUUUCUUUGCCUGUCUGCACAAAUGCCACAUAUAAUGAAGAUCUGGGGAUUAAGCAAAUCCACAGAAAGGGUGUCUAUAAAUGUACUCCAUGUGGCCAUAUCUCAGGGCUCUUCCCCCACCUGUUAUGGGACAGUAAUCAGUAUUCUGAGACUUGGUCUGGAAAAAUGAAAACAAAGGAGAAAGUCGAGGGAGGGCCAGGGGGUGAAAUCGUGCCCCAACCUCUUAUUUCUCAAACAGAAGGUACACUUGGGAGUACAGGAA